GGGCAAUGUGUGGUGAGCCCCUCUCUGCAAUGAGGUGGGGGGAGGGAAACAGGGGGCUCCCCCCAGGGAAGAGAUUCACACCUCCAAUCCUGCUCAUUCAAAGUGUCCAUUUGGAAUUUAUUUUUCUGGCCUGUCUGCAUUUCAAGAGGCCACUGGCCAGAGAAGGUCACCGAGCACUGGUAAGAAACCAGUUCACCUCCCGGGGAGGACUCAUUUCAUUUGAGAAAGUUAGUUCUGGUUCAGAUAACAACGGAGGCCCCCAGAUUUCUAAUAAGUGAUGAGACUACCACACUGAUCACCAUUACCUGGAAGUUGAAUUCUUAAUUGGUCGUUUAAAAUAAAGUAAUGUUCGUGUAAGUAGAAAGAUCCAGAAGCGCACUGAGUCUGCAGUUGCCGCAGUCUGGCUGCAGCAAAAUAACUGGGGGGUGACGAACAACUUGUGUACAUUGAUACAGCAGGAGUGGGAGCCAUUUAUUGUAGGACUGGAGGGGUAUAUAUACAGUUCACACAGCUUAUCUUAAUUAACAUAAACUAGAUACAGCAGUCAACCAAUAAGGAAUCUCCACACUUAAUGGCUCGCUGGCGUUACUUCACAAACCACUUCCUCUGGCAAAAUGCCAGGCACCAUCUUGACUUGUUUACAGACCCUAACAUUUCCCCCUUUUGUUUAAUUUAAAUAACGACCAUAGUGGUUUUUACACAAACACCAUAAAUAAUUUGCUACAACAGAAGGGGAGAAUACAAAAUGCCACAAUACCAAGCCAAUUGAUGGCUCCAUGCAAGAAGCCCUUGGAAAAAUUAUACC
rnacentral:lncRNA from 1 species